GUAGGGAGCGAGCGUUAUCCGGAUUUAUUGGGUGUAAAGGGUGCGUAGACGGGCAAGCAAGUUAGUUGUGAAAUCCCUCGGCUUAACUGAGGAACUGCAACUAAAACUGCUAGUCUUGAGUGCAGGAGAGGUAAGUGGAAUUCCUAGUGUAGCGGUGAAAUGCGUAGAUAUUAGGAGGAACACCAGUGGCGAAGGCGACUUACUGGACUGUAACUGACGUUGAGGCACGAAAGUGUGGGGAGCAAACAGGAUUAGAUACCCUGGUAGUCCACACUGUAAACGAUGGAUACUAGGUGUAGGAGAUAUUAAGUUUUCUGUGCCGUCGCAAACGCAGUAAGUAUCCCACCUGGGGAGU
rnacentral:rRNA from 1 species